ACAACAUUCGGACCGUCGGUCUACCGAGCAAUAUCACCUGCUUGGUGGAAGAUCUUCCCUUCGUCGU
rnacentral:pre_miRNA from 1 species